ACGGAUACCAUCAAGUGCGAGCGAUACUCGUAAUAUUGAAUUGGCAUUGAUACCGCGAAAUAUAUAAAAAAGGAUAUUGAAUUGCCUUCUUGUAGUUUAUUAGACGAUUUAACCUUUUAUUGCCUGAUGCUAUCUUCUAAGACUCUUUAUCCUACUAUAUUGAGAGUUUAAGUACUCGGAUAAGUAUAUAUUCAUAUAAUAAUUCAUAUAAUAUAUAAUAUAUAUAUAAAUUCUAUAAUUUAAAAAAUAAUAUAUCGUUUUGAGGAUACUAAACCUGUCAUUACAUUUACGUUAUAAAAUACUGUCAGGAAGAGAAUUUUACUAAAAUUACAAGAAAAUCCUAUAGAUUCAAUUGCUCUUCAAUUGUAUUUAAUAUAUUGACAGCUCAUGGGUUAAUAAAUCUAAUAUAUUUUGUUUUAGAGAGGUCAAUUAUUAGAUAAUUUAAUUGAGUUUUUUUUCGCUAAAAAAACCAUGUCAAUGUCAAAAUAUAAAAAAAAAGAAGAUACACGCAAGAUUUCACUAAAUCAGUGGAACGGAGAAGUCAGGAUACACGUUACGUAAUCGGCUGCGACGUAGAUAACUGGUAGAGCAAGGCGAACAAUAGGAAAGGAAACGGUGGGAUGGAGCGUGGCUUUUACAAACCAUGUUGUGUUCUAAAAUGUUUCCUCGCUGGUUGCACACUUCUUAGCUUCUCUACUUAGCUUCUCUAAUAUACAACGAAUGUUCCUUAAGAUAAAAUUUGGAUUACAUCAACACGUUACGUGUGUCGCAUCGAGGAAUCGCUUUUAUCGUGGAAAACAGAUACUCAACGGCUGGAUCUCGGAUGGAAACGUACACCGAACGAGUAAAACGAUACGUUCGAGACGGAUUACGACUUAAAAAAAGAAACGAAACCAGGAGAGAAAGAGAGGGAGGAGGAGGAAAGGAGAAGGGGAAGAGGAGAAGAGGAGGAGGAGAGAACGAUCGAGGAGCAGCAAAUGAUUCAUAAAACGAUCGCGUCGCAAUAGAGAGGCGCACGCGUGAAUGCGUUGUUACCUCACUGACGGUCCACAUUCUGUACAACAUUCUGUAGCGUAAGAAACGUAAAUUGGUAAACGUUCGACAGAGAAAGAGAAAGACGGAGAAAAGCGUGCAGACUGAGGGGAAGGCACGUCACUUCCGGUCCAUUAAGAGCAACACGGGGGUCACUAGUGUUGUGUGCAGGGAGCUAAUUAUAAGAAAGGGAGGCAUACACCGUGAUAAUCGAUAAUUUGUCGGUGUAACCGAGAAGGCGUAAGUAUAAAACUAGAGGAAACGAAGCGAAACGGAACGAGGCGAGGCGAGAAAAAGAAAAAGAAAGAGCUUACCUGAUUUGCG